UACGAAGGUCCCAAGCGUUAUCCGGAUUUAUUGGGUUUAAAGGGUGCGUAGGCGGGUUAUUAAGUCAGUGGUGAAAGCCUGCAGCUUAACUGCAGAAUUGCCAUUGAUACUGAUGAUCUUGAGUAUGAUUGAGGUGGGCGGAAUGUGUCAUGUAGCGGUGAAAUGCUUAGAUAUGACACAGAACACCGAUUGCGAAGGCAGCUUGCUACACAGUUAUUGACACUGAGGCACGAAAGCGUGGGGAGCAAACAGG
rnacentral:rRNA from 1 species